rnacentral:rRNA from 1 species
AAUAGAUACCCGGGUAGUCCACGCCGUAAACGAUGAGUGCUAAGUGUUAGGGGGUUUCCGCCCUUUAGUGCUGCAGCUAACGCAUUAAGCACUCCGCCUGGGGAGUACGGUCGCAAGACUGAAACUCAAAGGAAUUGACGGGGGCCCGCACAAGCGGUGGAGCAUGUGGUUUAAUUCGAAGCAACGCGAAGAACCUUACCAGGUCUUGACAUCCCACUGACCGCUAUGGAGACAUAGUUUUCCCUUCGGGGACAGUGGUGACAGGUGGUGCAUGGUUGUCGUCAGCUCGUGUCGUGAGAUGUUGGGUUAAGUCCCGCAACGAGCGCAACCCUUGAUCUUAGUUGCCAUCAUUUAGUUGGGCACUCUAAGGUGACUGCCGGUGACAAACCGGAGGAAGGUGGGGAUGACGUCAAAUCAUCAUGCCCCUUAUGACCUGGGCUACACACGUGCUACAAUGGACGGUACAAACGGUUGCCAACCCGCGAGGGGGAGCUAAUCCGAUAAAACCGUUCUCAGUUCGGAUUGUAGGCUGCAACUCGCCUAC